CGGGACUCUCACGAGGCCUCGUAAUCGGAAUGAGUACACUUUAAAUAUUUUAACGAGGAACAAUUGGAGGGCAAGUCUGGUGCCAGCAGCCGCGGUAAUUCCAGCUCCAAUAGCGUAUACUAAAUUUGUUGCGGUUAAAAAGCUCGUAGUUGCAUUUGUGCGCCGCGCUGUCGGUGCACCGCAUCCGCGGUGAUACUGACACGUCUGCGGAGCAUAUCGUCGGUGAGCCGCCGGUAAAACGGCGGUUCAAUAUCAAAAUCCUAUCGCGGUGCUCUUCAGUGAGUGUCGAGGUGGGCCGACAAUUUUACUUUGAACAAAUUAGAGUGCUCAAAGCGGGCUCAAAACGCUGCUUGAAUAUUUCGUGCAUGGAAUAAUGGAAUAUGAUCUCGGUUCUAUUUUGUUGGUUUUCAGAACUCCGAGGUAAUGAUUAAUAGGGAUAACUGGGGGCAUUCGUAUUGCGACGUUAGAGGUGAAAUUCUUGGAUCGUCGCAAGACGAACAUCAGCGAAAGCAUUUGCCAAAGGUGUUUUCAUCAAUCAAGAACGAAAGUUAGAGGUUCGAAGGCGAUUAGAUACCGCCCUAGUUCUAACCGUAAAUAUGUCAUCUAGCGAUCCGCCGACGUUAAUCAAAUGGCUCGGCGGGCAGCUUCCGGGAAACCAAAGAUUUUGGACUCCGGGGGGAGUAUGGUUGCAAAGCUGAAACUUAAAGGAA
rnacentral:rRNA from 1 species